rnacentral:rRNA from 1 species
AACGAACGCUGGCGGCAUGCCUACCACAUGCAAGUCGAACGAGACCUUCGGGUCUAGUGGCGCACGGGUGCGUAACGCGUGGGAACCUGCCCUUAGGUUCGGAAUAACUCCCCGAAAGGGGUGCUAAUACCGGAUAAUGUCUUCGGACCAAAGAUUUAUCGCCUUUGGAUGGGCCCGCGUUGGAUUAGCUAGUUGGUAGGGUAAAAGCCUACCAAGGCGACGAUCCAUAGCUGGUCUGAGAGGAUGAUCAGCCACACUGGGACUGAGACACGGCCCAGACUCCUACGGGAGGCAGCAGUGGGGAAUAUUGGACAAUGGGCGAAAGCCUGAUCCAGCAAUGCCGCGUGAGCGAUGAAGGCCUUAGGGUUGUAAAGCUCUUUUACCCGGGAUGAUAAUGACAGUACCGGGAGAAUAAGCUCCGGCUAACUCCGUG